rnacentral:rRNA from 2 species
UGGGGAAUAUUGCGCAAUGGAGGAAACUCUGACGCAGCAACGCCGCGUGAAGGAUGAAGGCUUUCGGGUUGUAAACUUCUUUGAUCGGGGACGAAAAUGACGGUACCCGAGGAACAAGCCACGGCUAACUACGUGCCAGCAGCCGCGGUAAUACGUAGGUGGCAAGCGUUGUCCGGAAUUACUGGGCGUAAAGGGCGUGUAGGCGGGGAGACAAGUCAGAUGUGAAAUCCCGAGGCUUAACUUCGGAGCUGCAUCUGAAACUGUUUCUCUUGAGUACUGGAGAGGAAAGUGGAAUUCCAAGUGUAGCGGUGAAAUGCGUAGAGAUUUGGAGGAACACCAGUGGCGAAGGCGGCUUUCUGGACAGUAACUGACGCUGAGGCGCGAAAGCGUGGGGAGCAAACAGG